UGUGAGCUUCGUUGCUCAGCGCAUCAGAGCAAACUGAAUAGGAAACCAAUCCAACAAACACCACCACGUAGAUACAAAUUGUCAUCCGCAACAGAGUAAAGGCGAAGGAGAAAAAGCCGAGUCAAACAUGGUGUCGUAUGUCAGUGCCUUGUUGUACGGAGUUGGGGGCAUAGUGAUGGCUGGUAUGGCGCUGCUCGUCGCCUUUCAAGAGAAACUUGUCUACGUCCCGGUGCUUCCCGGACUCACUAAGUCCUACCCGAUUACUCCCGCCCGCCUCCGUCUCAUCUAUGAGGACGUCUGGCUCCGAUCCUCCGACGGCAUCCGCCUCCACUCUUGGUUCAUCAGGCUCUUCCCCGACUGCCGAGGUCCAACCAUUCUGUUCUUCCAAGAGAAUGCUGGAAAUAUUGCGCACCGUCUAGAAAUGAUUCGGAUAUUGUUGCAGAGGUUGCAUUGCAAUGUCUUCAUGCUUUCAUAUCGAGGUUAUGGGGCGAGCGAUGGCUAUCCUUCUCAGCAUGGAAUUAUACAGGAUGCUCAGGCUGCAUUGGAUUAUCUUUAUCAAAGGACUGAUAUUGACACAUCUAGGAUAGUUGUAUUUGGAAGGUCCCUUGGGGGUGCUGUUGGAGCUACGCUUACCAAAAACAAUCCUGAUAAGGUUUCUGCAUUGAUACUGGAGAACACUUUCACAUCUAUUCUAGACAUGGCUGGGGUUCUAUUGCCUUUCCUGAAGUGGUUUAUUGGGGGAAGUGGCUCAAAAGGUCCAAAAAUUCUUAAUUUUCUUGUCCGUUCUCCAUGGAGCACCAUAGAUGUCAUUGGUAAGAUUGAGCAGCCAAUCCUUUUUAUAUCUGGAUUGCAAGAUGAGAUGGUUCCCCCAGUGCACAUGAAAAUGUUGUAUGCUAAAGCAGCAGCUCGUAACAGACAAUGCACCUUUGUGGAAUUUCCAAAUGGGAUGCAUAUGGAUACUUGGCUGUCUGGUGGGGAUCACUACUGGAGAACAAUUCAGCAAUUCCUUGAAAAGCAUGUUCCAGAAAAAAAGCAAAGUGAAUCACAGCAAAAUGACAAUGGAUAUUGGAUAGCAGAAAGUGGCAACAGAGAGAAUAAAUGAUUUCAACUGUCUUUUUGACAAUGAUACCAACGUCAAUUUAUUGGCUUAAUGAGAUCUUCAAUCUCAAGGAGAGGUGAUCAGAAGCAGCUGGCAUGUGAACUUUGAAAAUUUCAUUUACUUGGCAUAACAGCAGGGACCUCCAACUCUUUGUAACUUUCUGGAAGUUGCAGAUAGUGGAAGCUAUUCUAAACUCUCUAAGUUGAUAUCUGCUGUGUUCUUCUGUUCCCGUCAGGAUCACUGUUGAGAUUUUUCUUUGUUUAGGAAAAAUUAAUUUUGGGUAUAACAAACCGUAGGAGGUACUUGGAAGGCGUGAAAAUGCCCAUGAGUAUAUUGUAAGACAUUUGACAGACUAUGACAUUCAAUCAAAAAGUCUGACCAGUUGGCAUUUGUAUCAAAUAAGAAUUCUCUUCAACAUA